rnacentral:rRNA from 1 species
GAGUGACCGCUGGCGGUAGGCCUAACACAUGCAAGUCGAACGGCAGCACAGUAAGAGCUUGCUCUUACGGGUGGCGAGUGGCGGACGGGUGAGGAAUACAUCGGAAUCUACUUUUUCGUGGGGGAUAACGUAGGGAAACUUACGCUAAUACCGCAUACGACCUACGGGUGAAAGCAGGGGAUCUUCGGACCUUGCGCGAUUGAAUGAGCCGAUGUCGGAUUAGCUAGUUGGCGGGGUAAAGGCCCACCAAGGCGACGAUCCGUAGCUGGUCUGAGAGGAUGAUCAGCCACACUGGAGCUGAGACACGGUCCAGACUCCUACGGGAGGCAGCAGUGGGGAAUAUUGGACAAUGGGCGCAAGCCUGAUCCAGCCAUACCGCGUGGGUGAAGAAGGCCUUCGGGUUGUAAAGCCCUUUUGUUGGGAAAGAAAAGCAGCAGGUUAAUACCCCGCUGUUCUGACGGUACCCAAAGAAUAAGCACCGGCUAACUUCGUG